CCGGACUAGGCCUACUGAUGUCCUGAUCAGUUGGAGAGAGAGCGCAAAGAUGAGGAGGAGGACCGGAGGCGACUUACAGCAAGAAAGGCUUUGUGUUGGAGCCUAUUUCUUCCUAUUCAAGAAAGAACAGCAGGGUUUUCUCUCUAUGGAUACCUUGUCUGUCUGCUCUGCUGCUCUGCUCAACACACAGUAGUCUACUCCCCAGCAGAAGAGGGCCUUGACUAUUCCGAUGACCGUCUCCUCAACCACAGGAAUGCAGCCUCCCCUUUCACCCAAAAUUAGGUAUGACAACAAACUCUAAAACAUUUGCAAAACAAUCGGAAAACUUGAGCCUCCCCGAGUCCCUGCAUACUAACACGACACAGCCUAUCCUCUCCCAGAAAGGCCUUCAAGGGAAGGAAAGGGGGCCCAUUGCUUUUUUUUGGUCUCCAAAAAACAUGAUUAAGAAAACCUCACUCCCAUGCCUUCACACGGUUUUCAAGAAGUAUGUUUUGAAUAACGCAAAUUAGGGGCGCAAAAUAUGGUGCGUGGCACAGUGACCGUAGUAGCAAUGUGAAAAAUAUCCAUGGCAUUACAGGGGCAGAGAAGUGGGGGCGGUAGGCACGAAUGGUUUUCCUGUUGCCCCUGUGUCUCUGCCACGCAGACGGGUGACAUGAGAAUUGAACCGUCUGCAUCUACCGGUCUGUCUGUCGGCCUGUGGUCAAGCAGUCUGUAACCCAGCCCAGCUGUCUGGGAUGGAAAAGAUGCUCCAAGCAAAUGGCAAGAGAGGU